AUUGAACGCUGGCGGCAGGCCUAACACAUGCAAGUCGAGCGGAUGAAGGGAGCUUGCUCCUGGAUUCAGCGGCGGACGGGUGAGUAAUGCCUAGGAAUCGGCCUGGUAGUGGGGGAUAACGUCCGGAAACGGGCGCUAAUACCGCAUCCGUCCUGAGGGAGAAAGUGGGGGAUCUUCGGACCUCACGCUAUCAGAUGAGCCUAGGUCGGAUUAGCUAGUUGGUGGGGUAAAGGCCUACCAAGGCGACGAUCCGUAACUGGUCUGAGAGGAUGAGCAGUCACACUGGAACUGAGACACGGUCCAGACUCCUACGGGAGGCAGCAGUGGGGAAUAUUGGACAAUGGGCGAAAGCCUGAUCCAGCCAUGCCGCGUGUGUGAAGAAGGUCUUCGGAUUGUAAAGCACUUUAAGUUGGGAGGAAGGGCAGUAAGUUAAUACCUUGCUGUUUUGACGUUACCAACAGAACAAGCACCGGCUAACUUCGUG
rnacentral:rRNA from 1 species